rnacentral:rRNA from 1 species
AAUGAACGCUGGCGGCGCGCCUAAUACAUGCAAGUCGAGCGAGAAGACGUGGCAAUACGUUUGUAAAGCGGCGAACGGGUGAGGAAUACAUGGGUAACCUACCCUCGAGUGGGGAAUAACUAGCCGAAAGGUUAGCUAAUACCGCGUACGCUUCUUGGACUUCGGUUCAGGGAGGAAAGCGAUGCCGAGGGUAUCGCGCUCUUGGAUGGGCUCAUGUCCUAUCAGCUUGUUGGGAGGUAACGGCUCACCAAGGCUUCGACGGGUAGCUGGUCUGAGAGGAUGGCCAGCCACAUUGGGACUGAGGCACGGCCCAGACUCCUACGGGAGGCAGCAGUGGGGAAUCUUGCGCAAUGGGCGAAAGCCUGACGCAGCGACGCCGCGUGAGGGAUGACGGCCUCGGUUG